GCGCAAAGCACGGAGCAAAAUCCAUCAUGCUAACUUGUGGAAAUAGGUCAACUAAGUCAUCAAGUGCAGCUACCUGGAUUUAUUCGGAAUAUCAACCUAACUAAUGAAUGAAACCACUUGGUAUCAGCUUAUAACACGAGGCAAAAUCUUGGAGGAAACUGUUAUGCUGUGGCUGGGAAGUUGACGCUCAUGUUGUUGGAGGUUUGAACUCACACAACUCAUUAAACUACAAAGUGAUACAUGGUGUGGUUGUGUUAUCCCUCCAAUCAUUAGUCCCAGGCUCUCCCCUCUCUCCGUAUACAGUUUAACAUCUAACUGGUGGACUGUCAUAGGCUUAGGGUUUAAUUAACCCCUCUAAGACAUCAGAUGAACAAAGUGAAGAAGGCAGUGGAGGUCUCCUCAUCCCCCACCAGACCAUUGUCAGUGGGAAUGUCCUUCAAAGCCCUGCUGCAGCCUGGCCUGGCAUCACCUCACUGGCAUCAAUGUCAAUGCCAGGGUGUGCUGUGAUGCUAUGGGCCCUGAUGGUAGCAUAUUCCCUACCGAUAGUGUUGAUUGCCACGCUUAGGUAUAGCUCUGAGUAUGUGUGUGUGUGUGUGUGUGUGUAUGUGUGUGUGUGUGUGUGUGCCCUCUGAACUUGCCUUUCACGUUAUGGGUCUAUGCCCGAGGUGACUGGUUAGGCCCCUGCACCUACGAUAGUCCACAGUAAGGAUUUAACAUGGCAGCUGCAGGUUUAUUAGGCUGCUAAGCCUCCUCCCCUUUUCUCUAUGCUCUAUUUCACCUGGUUCUCUAUCCUCUUGCCCCUGUUUUUACCCCUACUUCCA